ACACGUGGGUAACCUGCCUUAUAGUGGGGGAUAGCCUUUCGAAAGGAAGAUUAAUACCGCAUAAGAUUGUAGUAUCGCAUGAUAUAGCAAUUAAAGGAGCAAUUCGCUAUAAGAUGGACCCGCGUCGCAUUAGCUAGUUGGUGAGGUAAUGGCUCACCAAGGCGACGAUGCGUAGCCGACCUGAGAGGGUGAUCGGCCACAUUGGGACUGAGACACGGCCCAGACUCCUACGGGAGGCAGCUG
rnacentral:rRNA from 1 species